UAAGGAAUAUUGGACAAUGGACGCAAGUCUGAUCCAGCCAUGCCGCGUGAAGGAUGAAGGUCCUCUGGAUUGUAAACUUCUUUUAUAUGGGACGAAAAAAGGGAAUUCUUUCCCUCUUGACGGUACUGUAUGAAUAAGCACCGGCUAACUCCGUGCCAGCAGCCGCGGUAAUACGGAGGGUGCAAGCGUUAUCCGGAUUCACUGGGUUUAAAGGGUGCGUAGGCGGGUAUGUAAGUCAGUGGUGAAAUCCUGGAGCUUAACUCCGGAACUGCCAUUGAUACUAUAUAUCUUGAAUAUUGUGGAGGUUUGCGGAAUAUGUCAUGUAGCGGUGAAAUGCAUAGAUAUGACAUAGAACACCUAUUGCGAAGGCAGCAGGCUACACAUAUAUUGACGCUGAGGCACGAAAGCGUGGGGAUCAAACAGG
rnacentral:rRNA from 1 species